GCCAGACUCCUACGGGAGGCAGCAGUGGGGAAUAUUGGGCAAUGGGCGAAAGCCUGACCCAGCAAUGCCGCGUGAAUGAGGAAGGUCUUAGGAUUGUAAAAUUCUGUCCUAUGGGAAGAAACAAAUGACGGUACCAUAGGAGGAAGCCCCGGCUAACUCCGUGCCAGCAGCCGCGGUAAUACGGAGGGUGCAAGCGUUACUCGGAAUCACUGGGCGUAAAGAGCGCGUAGGCGGGAUAGCAAGUCAGAUGUGAAAUCCUAUGGCUUAACCAUAGAACUGCAUUUGAAACUGUUAUUCUAGAGUAUGGGAGAGGUAGGUGGAAUUCUUGGUGUAGGGGUAAAAUCCGUAGAGAUCAAGAGGAAUACUCAUUGCGAAGGCGACCUGCUAGAACAUAACUGACGCUGAUGCGCGAAAGCGUGGGGAGCAAACAGGAUUAGAUACCCCGGUACAA
rnacentral:rRNA from 1 species